rnacentral:rRNA from 1 species
AUUGAACGCUGGCGGCAGGCCUAACACAUGCAAGUCGAGCGGAGCGGCGGACGGGCGAGUAAUGCCUAGGAAUCUGCCUGGUAGUGGGGGAUAACGUCCGGAAACGGGCGCUAAUACCGCAUACUAUCAGAUGACCCUAGGUCGGAUUAGCUAGGUGGUUGGGUAAAGGCCUACCAAGGCGACGAUCCGUAACUGGUCUGCGAGGAUGAUCAGUCACACUGGAACUGAGACACGGUCCAGACUCCUACGGUAGGCAGCAGGUGGGAAUAUUGGACAAUGGGCGAAAGCCUGAUCCAGCCAUGCCGCGUGUGUGAAGAAGGUCUUCGGAUUGUAAAGCACUUUAAGUUGGGAGGCGUUACCAACAGAAUAAGCACCGGCUAACUUCGUGCCAGCAGCCGCGGUAAUUC